rnacentral:rRNA from 1 species
CCCCGGGCGGGGCGGGGGCACGGGGGGAACGCGAAGAACCUUACCUGGCCUUGACAUCCAGAGAACUUAGCAGAGAUGCUUUGGUGCCUUCGGGAACUCUGAGACAGGUGCUGCAUGGCUGUCGUCAGCUCGUGUUGUGAAAUGUUGGGUUAAGUCCCGCAACGAGCGCAACCCUUAUCCUUUGUUGCCAGCGGUUCGGCCGGGAACUCAAAGGAGACUGCCGGUGAUAAACCGGAGGAAGGUGGGGAUGACGUCAAGUCAUCAUGGCCCUUACGGCCAGGGCUACACACGUGCUACAAUGGCGCAUACAAAGAGAAGCGACCUCGCGAGAGCAAGCGGACCUCAUAAAGUGCGUCGUAGUCCGGAUUGGAGUCUGCAACUCGACUCCAUGAAGUCGGAAUCGCUAGUAAUCGUAGAUCAGAAUGCUACGGUGAAUACGUUCCCGGGUCUG